rnacentral:misc_RNA from 1 species
GCUGAAUCCUCCUUGUACACAUUUUCUGUGCUGCCCUACCUUUUAUUUGCAGCGAUCGACAUGCUCGAUGGGUAAGCUAGUGUUGCUUGAGAAGGAAAAAGACAUACAAAAGGAAAGAAUUUUGCCUAGUAAAUAUGUCAAAAUAAGCUUAUGUUGUGUACACAGGACUGACACAAACAAUGUACUUAUAAUAUAGUUGGUGUUUUUUGCAUGUAUGUGAAGUUACAGAGGUUUGGGUGUUCUAAUGCAGGGCUCAUUUAGCAUUUGCGUUGGAGCUGUGGGUGGCUGAGAAAAAUAUUUUUUAAAUAUAAUAGUUAGAAAGCAACAUCUAGUGGGACCCGUCAAAGAAAAUCACCCAUGAAGGAAACACCACCAAAUCCACCACUGUACAAAUAGGCCACGCCUUGUCACUUCAUAAUGAUCAAUUAAUUCCAUUGCCAUCAUCUUCAUAACAAACUACAGCAGAUUAGAAAAGCUGUUCUUAGGCAGAAAUCUUCUCAAAAGACCAUUGCCAAUCUCUCCUCCCAAAUUAGAUACUUAUCAAUAGGAAAGAAUCAGAUCUGUGGAACUGUUCCUUCAGAGUUGGGGAACCUAGUGAACUUAAAUGUGUUGGAUAUGCAGAACAACGUGUUGCAUGGUAAUAUUCCUCCAACUAUUGGCAAUCUCCAAAAUCUGUUUCAACUGUAUUUCCAUGGCAACAACUUUCACAGGACAAAUUCCAUUUACCCUUGCUAAUAUUACUUUCCUAUAUGAUCUUACUUUGGGGGAAAUUAUCCGCCUGGAAAUGUACCUCUAAGUCAGGGAACUGUCGGGAUUUGAUGAACCUAUAUCUUGCUUUGAAUGAGCAUGAUGGCUACAUUCCUGAAUCCAUGUUUGGCCUUUCUUCUAUUGUGUUCAUCGAUCUUUCUUUCAAUUCCUUAACUGGUUCCAGAAAGACUUCCUUUUUUGCAAAUUUUGAAUAUUUCUUUCAAUGAUCUCGAGGGUGAAGUUCAAGAAACCGGCAUUUUCAAAAAUGCUAGUGUAAUUUCUCCUAACGCUGUGGAGGAAUCCCAGAAUUGAGGUUUCCAGCUUGCACUUCCUGCACUCUAAUCAAAGAGGAAUUUCUCAAGCACUGAAAGUGAUUGUUCCAUUAAUCAUUGUGGCUAUUUGUUCAGCUGUGUUAGCAGGUUUACUUAUCAAUUGCUACAGGAAAAACAACACAGUGGUGAAUCCUUCUUCAGCACCACUUGACAAUCAAUUCCCCAAAAUUUCUUACCAACAACUUUUUCAAGCAACUGAUGGUUUCUUUGAGGCUAAUUUGAUAGGAUCAGGUAUGGGUCUGUGUAUAAA